AGUGGAAAUUAUAAGAUCUUUUUUAGUGGUUACAAGCUGUUUGAAAUCGCCAAAAAAAGUCGGAAAAUUAUAAGAAAAGUGUGGAAGUUUUUAGUAGGCCCAAGUGCAAGGGAACAGGCAUUCCCAUAUCUUAGUUUAAGAUAGUUGCUGUCGUCAAAUCAGCAAGACCAAGUAUCAUCUGCUCGAGGCUCAGGAACCGAAUCCUUCACGCGAAGGUGUUCCUGCCGGGUUCUAGAACCGGAAGUAGGUUGUAGGGGGAUUCGAACAUUACGAGUCUUCUGGGUGGAUCCGGAAGCUUGGCGGCUUGUAGGCUAUAGGCCUCGUCGUCCGGCCAGUGACCCAUCGUCGCACCUACGGGCCUGGGAGCAUUCCACGACUCCCGAGAAUUGCGCGCUGGAAGCCAAAUCAUCAGUGGCAUUCUCAUAUCGAUAGCCUCGAGACAGUUGGCGGUUCGAAAUCCAACCGAACUCGCAUGCAAGAAGCGCAUUAGCCAGGACACGCACCACUCACAGCAUCGUAGAAGCACCAAUCCAUUCGCCCUCGUCGUCGUCGUCGUUGUCGUCGACCGCUCGCUACAGCAACCAACAGUAGUCUAGGCUGGCCCACCGUUACAUCCAUCGUUGGACAUCGCCUGAGCUUGAGCCGAGCCAGAAAGAUCACGGUCAGAUUAGAUAAGCUAGAUAUAAGUAGGACAGUCCGUAUGUGUACCCUCGGACCAAAAGGGACUUAGUUAUUAGCACGGCCGUGCGCAAGUAAAAUUCCUAUUGGAAUCCAGAUAGGAGAAAAAGGCAAAACCGAAAAAUACAAUUCU